rnacentral:tRNA from 1 species
GUGGAUACAGCUCAGUUGGUAGAGUGCUUGCCUUGCAUGCACGAGGCCCUGGGUUCAAUCCCCAGCAUCACA